GCCGGGGUGGUGGAACUGGUAGACACAAGGGACUUAAAAUCCCUCGGGUGGAAACACCUGUGCGGGUUCGAGUCCCGCCCUCGGCA
rnacentral:tRNA from 1 species